rnacentral:lncRNA from 12 species
AUGCAAGAGAUCCUCCCCAAAAUGCUGGCUGAGUGUAGAACUGGGUUUCCAUGGAGUGCAGGAAUAAAUCAAGUGUCUCGUGAGGAGACUGUAACAUCCAGAACAAAGGACUCAAAAUGCAGAAAAUCCAGAUGCUUUCAAAUGUGAAACAAACCUAAAUAGUCAAAAAUCCUGGAAAUAGACAGCUGGGGAAUAUCUGAAACUUUAGUUUUGACUAGUUG